UUAUCUAAAUUUCUGGUACUGGAUUGGUAUAUCAUUAUUAAUUUGUUUGUGGGGAAUCUGGGAUAAAACAAAGACAUCGUGUAAUUAAACAAUAAUCAUAGGAAGAAAGAAAUAGUUUCACUUUCAUUCACGAAAUUGAAUGUUCUCGAAUUGUUUUGAGCCAUUUGGGAAAAAGAAACGAAAUUGAACAAAGAGAAGGC
rnacentral:lncRNA from 1 species